rnacentral:rRNA from 1 species
UACGAAGGGUGCAAGCGUUACUCGGAAUUACUGGGCGUAAAGCGUGCGUAGGUGGUGAGUUAAGUCUGUCGUGAAAGCCCCGGGCUCAACCUGGGAAUGGCGAUGGAUACUGGCUCGCUAGAGUGCGGUAGAGGAGAGUGGAAUUCCCGGUGUAGCAGUGAAAUGCGUAGAUAUCCGGAGGAACACCGGUGGCGAAGGCGGCUUCCUGGACCGACACUGACGCUGAGGCGCGAAAGCUAGGGGAGCAAACGGG